GACGAACGCUGGCGGCGUGCUUAACACAUGCAAGUCGAACGGAAAGGCCCUGCUUUUGUGGGGUGCUCGAGUGGCGAACGGGUGAGUAACACGUGAGUAACCUGCCCUUGACUUUGGGAUAACUUCAGGAAACUGGGGCUAAUACCGGAUAGGAGCUCCUGCUGCAUGGUGGGGGUUGGAAAGUUUCGGCGGUUGGGGAUGGACUCGCGGCUUAUCAGCUUGUUGGUGGGGUAGUGGCUUACCAAGGCUUUGACGGGUAGCCGGCCUGAGAGGGUGACCGGCCACAUUGGGACUGAGAUACGGCCCAGACUCCUACGGGAGGCAGCAGGGGGGAAUAUUGCACAAUGGGCGGAAGCCUGAUGCAGCAACGCCGCGUGCGGGAUGACGGCCUUCGGGUUGUAAACCGCUUUAGCAUGUGACGAAGCGUGAGUGACGGUAAUGGGUAAAGAAGCACCGGCUAACUACGUG
rnacentral:rRNA from 1 species